ensembl:lncRNA
AUUUUAUAUGUGGGACACCUGCCACAGCAUGGCUUGAUGAAUGGUGCUAGGUCUGUGCCUGGGAUCCAAACUGGUGAACCCUGGGCUGCUGAAGCAGAGCACGUGAAUUUAACCACUACGCCACUGGGCUGGCCCCUAAUUUUUCUUUUGAGAGAGGAUCUUAUGUAGUGAUAGAAGUAGGGCAGGAGUUCAGAAUUUCAGAUCACCUAUGUGGUCAGAUUUGUCACUGAGCCUUCAAAUAACUUCAGAGGUGUUGAAGGAGAAUAGAUUGGCCGAUUAGCCAAAGCCCUCGCGGCAGCUGCCUCUGAUAUUUGGCCUUUCGAGAUCUUCCUAACUGACCCCUUCUAGACGGUGUGUUCUCCGUUAGGGCAACCGACUGCUUCAGAAUGAGGCUCCGCUAACUGCCCAUGCUCUCUCCUUCAGAGAAGUUGGUGGGAAUUUUAAACGAACCCUAUAAAGAGUAUCCUUUGAAUGAAUUGAGAAUCAAGACUAAAGAGUGCAGCAAAUGUGUCUCCUUUAGUACGUGUGAUAUAUGGAACAGGACCAGAUCAUGGACUCCAGCCCACAUGGACUGCAUUUGAACCCCAGGUCUGCCACUUCCUGGCAGUGUCAUCAAGGGAAAGCUGCUUACACUAUCUGUGUCUCAUAUUCCCAAAUGUAAAAUGCAGACAACAAGGGUAACCUACGACCAAAGUCUGCUGUGAGGAAUUUUAUAUAUAUAUGACUCUAGAAAGCGCUGAGGGGAAAAAAGUGUCCAGCACAUCAUCAUCAGUGUCAAGUCUCAGCAGGCCCUGCCCCGGCCGGCCUCACCCACAGAGGGCCUAAGCAGGCAACCCUUGCAGUAGAGAGGCUCGGAGAAUUCUCCUCUCUGUGGGCAGCUUGUCCCCAAGAAGACAAAAGAUAGUGGCUGAGCUGAGCAUGCCCUGUUCAAUCUUAUCAGGAUAAUACUGCAACAAAAAUACUAUUAAACAGAAUAUACUGUUGAAGAAAUCCAGAAAGUGCAAGACGCUGACUGACGUAGACUGCAUUUCCCAGGCUUCUAGCUGGGUUCAGCAAAGAAGAAGCGAAUGGAUUGGAAGUGGAGCCAGAAAGGAGACGAAGGAGAGGUUGUGAUCUGAUGGAGAUGAGCUGGGAAAAUUGACUUUGGCACUCUGGCCCAUGGAAGGAAAUGAACCAUAUGUGCAAGGCUGUGGAAAGUUGAAGCCAAUCCCUGACCUGAAGAAAGAUACAUACAUGGGGAUUCUGAAAGUGUAGCCAAGGAGAUGAAAUCUGGGAACAGGCUGGCUUUCAAUGGAUUGAAAGCAUUUAAUCUUUGCAGCUUUUCCAGGAAAUGCUGCCUUAACAUUGGCUUUUUCAAAUGCUUUUGUUUUCUGGCUUUCCUGGGGUUGAGAGUAGUUUGCUUGUUGGAUUAGGUCGUGGGCUUUUGUGAUGUAAAUGAUGUUAAUAUUCGGCCAAAGGCAGACUUCGCGUUCUUUGGCAACAUUUCCUUAGGAUUCCACAAAAGAAAUCAGAGACCUGCAGACUUCCACAUUGUGUCAGAGUGGGACUGUUUGUUCAUUUUUUGGGAAGAACGCAGUCAUUGGCCAUUAAGCCAGGGCUGUUCCGGUUUUGUACACUCAUUUGUGGAACUUCCCAGGAACCAAAUCUUGCUUUGGUAUUGUGCUACUAUCUCUUAUCAGAAAAAAGGGCACAAUUCAAAUACUUCACAAACCUUUCCUCUGACCUCUUUUAACUGAAUUUUUAUAGGGAAGAUUUAUAUAGCUGUAGAAUUCUUUCUAUAUUUCAUACAUAAAUUCCUUUUUCUAGUUAAUUUUCAACCUCCAAUAUGAUUUCAAAUACCAAAACAAGGCUCAAGAUUGUAUAGCAGCAGGUCUCCAAUUUAUCAAUUAUUUGGAUUUGUCUUUUAUAACCUGUAAGAUGGAUUUCGGGAAAAAUUCCGUAAGUCCUGAAAGACCAGGGACCCAAGGUUGUAUGUUAAUCGAUAAAAGUGGAAGUGCUGAGGGCAGGUGUGGUUCUAUUAUUAGUUCUCUGAGUAGCUAGUCUAAGACAGAGAGGCAUCCUAGGCACCAGGAAUUCAGAGCUGAGGGUCUUAGUUCUCAAAAAGUUUAUAAAAGAGCCAGAAUUUAAGAACUAAAAUUCCACUUGUUUGCCUUCUUAAUGCCUCAGUUUCCUCAUUGGUCAAACAGGUCCUUGUGAAAUCAUGAUAGUAAUAAUAGCCAGCAUUUAUUGCGUGUUCCUCCAUGCAGUGUUUUAAGCAGACACCAUGUAUUAACUUACUAAAUCUUCCAAAUAAUCCUGUGAUAUAGGUCCUUGUGUCCUCUGUCCCAAAUCUCUUGAGUGCUUCCUACCUCUCUGCGGAGUAGCUCCAGGUUGUCUCGGUUCUGGUGGAGUGACUCUAGGUCAUAUUUCAUUGUGGGCAAUGGCUUCUGCAAUCCAUGGAAUUUUCUGAAACUUGCUUCUAAGUUUGGGAAGACCUUCCACAUACUGGCAGAAAGCCCCCAAGCAUUUUUUUUAAAGGGGCUUUGGGUCAAAAAGAGGUAAUGAAUAUGUUCUUGGAUUUAGUUGUCUAUGGAGGGAGUUGUUGAUCAAUGCAAGUGUCUCGAGUACUAUAUAUGACAAUAAACGAAGAUCAAUUUCCAAUUCUAUACCUUACAAACCUAUGCAGAUUUAGUCACUUCUCAUAUUUUUCAGGAAAGUUAGCUUUGAAAACUUAGCACUCCAUCCACGGCUAGCAUGCGGCCACAAAAGCUGUCUAAGCCCCCAGACUGGGGUCCCUGCUGACCAUGAGCUGACCCAGCACAGAGCCCUACUUUCCACAGCAACAGUGACUAUUCACCAGUCUCUCGAUUACAGUAUCAACUUUCUGGAGGAAGACUAGAAAAGAAUCAUACUCCUCUUAUUCCCAGAUGCGUCUGAAACAAGGCACAAUGGUAGUCAUUAACAAUAAAGAGGAGGCUAAUUUGCUUCCCUCUAAAUCUGAAUGCUAAUGCAACCGUCUAAACAGUGCCAACAAUGGAAAUAAACAGAAGACUGAGUUAAACCACAAAUGUACAGGCCUGUACCAGUUGGCAAAACAUAAGAGCCAGCAGUAUUGAAAUAAUAGCAACUAACGCUUGUGUGUAAAAUGAAUCAUAGGACUGUAUCGGGCCAGCAGAGCAAUUUAUCAAAUUGGGCAAUGUGACCCUAGAGAUAGGAAUAUGUCCCAUUUGAAAUCAGAGACUGUGAUUUCAUAACGUUUCUUAGAAAUCAUCUGAAUUCUUAAAACUCCUAUAGCCCAAAUGGCCUUCCUUGUUCUCGACAUUCUGCAAUCCUGAGGUACUGAGGUUGGGGAGGCCGUCUCCCGCAAUGUGGACGUGAGCUCCCAGGGGAAGAGAAGAGGGUGGUAUGGUGAGGAGCCCUUCAGUCUGUCCUGUGCCACAGCAGAGGAACAAUGGGGCUUUUCUUCUGCCUGGCAUGGUUUCUAUACAUUUUAUUAACCCUAAAUUGUAUACCAUUCCUCAUGCUCCCACAAGGUAGAAAUGGACAAUGGUUUCUAGAUCAUCUCUCUGCAAACAAGUGAACUUUGUAUGUGUAAGUAAAACACGGCAUUCUGCAUUAAGCUUCUCGUGCCUUAGACUGAGCAGGCCCCGUUGUGCCUCAGCCAAGUGUUUUUGCGUUUGCCCUGGAUGCAUCCCUUCACACGAGGCAUGUCUUUGUGUGGGGGUUAGUGUAGCUCAUGGGAGCUGUGGUGUUGACAUUUGGGGCCAGUCACUUGCAGGUUGUGUAACCCCAUGCAAAUUAUUUAAUUUCUCUGUACCUCAACGUCAUCAUUUGGAAAAUGAGUGUGAUGAUUUACCUCAUAGGAUUAUUGUAUGUCUUAAAGAAGAUUGUAUGUGCUUAUACAUUUUACCUUGUAAUGUGUCUGGUAUUAAUUGUUUCUCAACAAAGAGUUUUCCCACUAUUAGUACUGAGACCCAGUGCUGCCCCACAGACUUAGAUGGGGGCAUAGGAUAUCUGUUUAUAAAACAGUGAGUAAGCAGGGCUUCUUUUCCACCUUCUCAAGCUGCAAGUCAUUUCUCUCUUCUCCAGGUCCCUGUGUCAGUUUGUCGUCAUCAGAAGAGAUUGCUAGGGAGCCUGCAUGGGACUCUCACAGGCACAGGACCAGGGAGACCAAAGUCUACUCCAGACUUUCCCAUUUCUUUGUUGGCUGGCCUUGGCCAUAUUCCUUAACUCUUUGGAGUCUCUACUUCCUCAUCUAUAAAAUGGGAAUAAUAUCAUAAUUCCCUCCCAGGAUAUUUGUGAGGAUCAAAGAGAUCAUGAAACAUUAGAAUAUUGAAAUUUGCUAUAAAACACGAGGCAUUAUUAAUAUUGUGCUGUAGUUAUUUAUGAUUGUAUCUUAUGCCUCAAACUAAACAGAAAGAUUCACAGCAGAGUAACUUGAACUACCAGUUUUCAGAGGCAGUGAGCUAGGGAGGGAGACUCACGGUGAGAAAUAUGGCAGAGCAGCUAUUGGAUAAGCAUUUCUAGUCCAUCACUCUAUCCACUGAGGCUCGUUGCCUUUUUCUAUAUUAAUUAUUUUGACUUUUCCAAGGAGGAUCCAACUAAGGGGGAAAUGGACAGUUGAGAUCAUAAGGCAAGAUUUCCAAGAUCCAGCCAGGAAGGGUAUACAAUAAUGGGCAAUCAAAAACAAUGAAAUUUAAGUUACCUGCUUGUUGAGGUGAGUUCUGAGCUAUGAUGUUAUAUGCAAUGCAUUUAUCCUCUGUUCCCAGGACAAAGAAACUCAAACCAAAACCAACAAAGGAAAAAAUGCUCAUUCACCAAGAACCAACCCAACCAUCAACAACUCCCCUCCCCAACAGCAUAAGAGCCAACACAAAUCACAAGUAGUUUUAAGUUGCGGCUGCCUAGAUGGCACAGAAUUAAAAAGAUCUCUCUGAUGCCUAGGUCACAAGCCUUCAAUUAUGGACAGCCACAAUCCACAGCUCUGACUGCAUGUGUGUCUGGUGCCCUUACAUUGGGCACCCAAGAGAAAAUGGCAAUGCUUAUUGAUAACUGUCGCACAUUCCUUCAAAGGCUAGGAAGGGAGGGUCGUUCUUAUUUAUUACCACCCCUUAUGUUUCUAACGGGGUUCUGAUCUGGAGUAACCUCAAUGCCAAAGUUCUUUAGAGUGAUGUUUUGUUAAGAUAUAUAGUGUUCCGACUUGAAAUUCAUGAGCAAAAAUAAUUUACACAUAAGAUCCAAGAGAUCUGCGAAUAUUUUGUUUGCCUCCAGCCACAUCGCUAAGGAAAAUUAUUAACCAUUUUUAAACAUCCAGUUUGCUCAUGUAAGGAGCCUCUUGAUGAUUACAAAUUCUGAGAGACUGCUCUUGUGACUUUGAAUUGAGGCUCAUAUUUGAAACCACAGUCUUAAGAUGUCUUCCAACUAAGAGACCUACUGGCCUCUAGUGCCCCAGUUUCAGCUGUUCUGGAAAACACAGUGUCAUUCCUCUAAGCUCCCAUUCCCAGGCACUCCAAAGUGAAUCUCUUAAAUAGUCUGUAGCUUAUAAUUUGUCAGACCAUCCCGACAUACUAUCCACCCAGUGGUUUUCACAUGGUGUAGUAACUUCAUUUUUAUUUAUAGAGAUUUCAUGAGUAAAAGGACCCAGAUGACAGUGGUUAAAAAGCAUAUCUGAAAGCUCAGUUUCAAUAAAAUGAC